GAUGAACGCUGGCGGCGUGCCUAAUACAUGCAAGUCGAGCGAACAGACCCAGCUCUUUCUCCUCUUACGUUAGCGGCGGAUGGGUGAGUAACACGUAACUUACCUUCCUCUCUGACUUGGAUAACUUCGGGAAACCGUAGCUACUACCAGAUACCAUGUUGACCCGCAUGGUUCAGCAGUGAAAGACGGUUUUGCUGUCACUUCUCGAUGUAUCCGCUUCGCAUUAGCUAGUUGGUAAGGUAACGGCUUACCAAGUCAACGAAGGGUAGCCGACCUGAGAGAGGGAUAGGCGACCUGGGAACUGAGACGGGGUCAAGACUCCUAAGAGAGGCAGCAGUAGGGAAUGUUCAGCAAUGGGGGAGAGCAUUACGGAGUGAGGCCGAGUGAGAGAAAAAGGUGUCGGGAGAGUAAAAACGGGUUACGAGGUAAGAACAAAUGUGAAAGGAAAAAAACACGUAGUGACGGUACCUGAACAGAAAGCAACGGCUAACUACGUG
rnacentral:rRNA from 1 species